rnacentral:rRNA from 1 species
GACGAACGCUGGCGGCGUGCUUAACACAUGCAAGUCGAACGGAAAGGCCCCUUUGGGGGUACUCGAGUGGCGAACGGGUGAGUAACACGUGAGUAACCUGCCCUUGACUUCGGGAUAACUUUAGGAAACUGGGGCUAAUACCGGAUAGGAAUCCUUGCUGCAUGGUGGGGGUUGGAACGCUUCGGCGGCUUGGGAUGGACUCGCGGCCUAUCAGCUUGUUGGUGGGGUAGUGGCUUACCAAGGCUUUGACGGGUAGCCGGACUGAGGGGGCGACCGGCCACAGUGGGACUGAGAUACGGCCCAGACUCCUACGGGAGGCAGCAGUGGGGAAGAUUGCACAAUGGGCGGAAGCCUGAUGCAGCAACGCCGCGUGCGGGAGGACGGCCUACGGGUUGUAAGCCGCUUUCAGCAGGGGCGAAGCUUGUGGUGACGGUACCUGCAGAAGAAGCACCGGCUAACUACGUG